GGCUUGUAGUCAUAUGCUUGUCUCAAAGAUUAAGCCAUGCAUGUCUAAGUAUAAGCAAUUAUACCGCGAAACUGCGAAUGGCUCAUUAAAUCAGUUAUCGUUUAUUUGAUAGUACCUUACUACAUGGAUAACCGUGGUAAUUCUAGAGCCAAUACAUGCUAAAAAUCCCGACUUCGGAAGGGAUGUAUUUAUUAGAUUAAAAACCAAUGCCCUCCGGGGCUCUCUGGUGAUUCAUAAUAACUUCUCGAACCGCACGGCCUUGCGCCGGCGAUGGUUCAUUCAAAUUUCUGCCCUAUCAACUUUCGACGGCUGGGUCUUGGCCAGCCGUGGUGACAACGGGUAACGGAGGGUUAGGGCUCGACCCCGGAGAAGGAGCCUGAGAAACGGCUACUACAUCCAAGGGAGGCAGCAGGCGCGCAAAUUACCCAAUCCCGACACGGGGAGGUAGNGACAAUAAAUACUGAUACAGGGCUCUUCCGGGUCUUG
rnacentral:rRNA from 1 species